rnacentral:tRNA from 1 species
GCGCGGGUUGCCGAGCCAGGCCAAAGGCGCAGCGCUUAGGACGCUGUCCUGUAGAGGUCCGCCGGUUCAAAUCCGGUCCCGCGCA